AGAGGGUGUUAUUAUUCAAGAGUGCUGCAGUCAGAAGGGCUGCAAGAGGAAAACGGAGAAGGAGGUGGGAAAUCAGUCAAUCAGAGGCUUGUGCGGUUCACGUUUUUUCCACUCCACUUGUGUUUUCGCAGGAGGGAACGCAGCAAAGAGGGGAGAGAAGAUGUGGGGAUGGAUGGAGCGGAUGAGAGGAGGAAGAUGGAGAGGAGAAAAGCGCAGGAUGAGCCCGGGGCUGAGUGGAGUGGCAGCGUGGCGCAGUCCUCGAGCGCCCAGCUGACAGGGGAAUCGGACCUGAAACCUGACAGUGUUUCGGCCUCACCGGAAGCCUCGCCUCUGGUUUCCUCUUGCAACAGGUGCCGGAGCCAAAGAGACGCGCGAAUAAAACCAGGCUGCGGAAAGGGAAGACGGGGAAGAAAGUGUGGAUUGCGCAGCUGGACUGGAUGCGUUUAACUUUUGAUGCUUACGGUGACGGGGAUGAUGAGGAUGAUGAUGAUGAAGAUAAAGCAGUGGGUGUGGGUGCAGAAUCCCCCUGUGUGUUUAAAACGGUGUCCGUCACGACUCAAAAUAAAAGAGACCACGAGUGUUUGAUAUUGUC